GUUUCCAAAAGGCAGGUGACCACAGUGUCGCAAACUACAAGUUCUUAUUCAGGUGGAGUUUCUGUUCCCACAGGGCAAGCAAGAGGGGUGUUUCUCUUAUGAGCCUUUUCUAGAGCCUUCUUUCUUUUGUUAUGGGGUUCCUUAAAACCAGCUGGAUGUUUCCAGUCGCCUUCCCAAGCUUGGGAGAAGCAAGCAGCCCUACAACAUUAGUAGGCCUCCAGGAGUAGAUCAGGGGGUCAUUGCCCAGGGUAUGGCCAGUGACCUGGCCCAAGCCUAGCAUUGUACAAAACAGGGCUUUGUGUCUUUAGGCCUCCAGCCACGCUUGACAUUUCGCCAUUAUAACCCUGCUCCGGGUGAAGGCUUCACAGGCAUCCAGGGACCUCUUUCAAAAUGCACACAGGGAGGAGAAAAAAGCCACAAGAAUGCAACCUGACGUCUGCCUCAGACUUGAAGCCUCAGACUUGAAGCCUCAAUUCGCCAGCGACUUGGGCAGUGAAUAAACGAGCUUUGUUAUGAAAGCAACCUCAAAAAGCCAGUCAUAUCCAAACCACACUUAGGACACCCCCAGUGCAACCUGAGGCCUGUCUGCCUCGCUUCCUGCCUCGUGGCUUUCUUGCCAGUCCUUGGGCUGGCUGCGCUUCCCAGAGCACAUUCAGACAAAUCUGACACUUUACUCGCUCUGCCAGCAAACUGCCCAACUUGUUUGUGUUUUAGGUUAAGUUUUUAUUUUUGUAAAGAAUGUCAUUUUUCCCCGUGUGUAUAACCCUGUGAAGCCAUCUUAACAGUGAGAGUCAUGGAUGUUUCUGUCACCCCAGGUCAUCGUUACAUAACCACUCACCUGCCUUCUGUCUCUCUAGAUGCAUUUUCUAGAAUUUCAUAUAGAAGGAACCGUACAGCUUGUGUUCCUCUUUGCCUGGCUUUUUAUUUCACUCACUACGAUGAAUUUUGAUUUUUCUUGUGCUACUAAGGGAAGGAACUCAGGGCCUUGUACAUGCUAGGCAAGCGCUCGUGCACUCUACACUGAGCUGCACUUCUAACCACAGUAUAAUGGUUUUUGAGAGUCAUCCAUGCUUAUGUGUACAUCACUAGUUUAUUCCUUUUAUUACCGACUAAUAUUCGGUUACAUGAAUAUACUCUUAACUUGUUUAUCUGUUUGCCUGUCAGUGGACAUUUUGAUUGUUUUUAACUUUUGGUUAUUACGAAUGAACCUGUUAUGAAUAUUUGUGUGCAAGUCUUUGUCCAGGUAUGUGCUUUUGGUUUUCUUGGAUAAAUACUGGGAGUGGAAAGGCCAAGUGAUAUGGUAGGUUUAUGUCUAACUUUUUAAGAAACCAAAAAAGUAUUUUUGAAAGGGUUGUAUCAUUUUGCAUUUUACCAUCAGUAUAUCAAAGUUUCAGUUGCUCAAAGUCCCUGAUGACACUUAGAAUAGUCUUUAUUUUACUUAUCCUGGAAGUUGUAAAGAAAUGAAAUCCACAUUUCUCACAUGAAAUUUAUAUUCUUUUGUGAAGAGCAGCUAGCCCUUCAUGUGUUUUUUAUAUCUUUUCUGAAGUGUCCGUUAAAAUCUUUUGCCCAAUUUAAUUGGGUUAAUUGCUUUAUUGAGUUUAAAUAUUUAACAUACAAGUCUUUCCUAAUACGUGUUUUAUAGUUCCCUCAGUCUUUGAUUUGCCUGUUUUGUUUUCUUAGUAAGGUGUGACUAUUGUCUGAUAAAAUCUGCAGCAUAUGAGUCUUCCAGGAAUAAGAAAAACAUUGAAUAUUUAACCAGGGUAGUAAAUUUUUAAAAUUCUGUAGGACCCAAAUGUGAGACCAACAUGAAUGAGACCAUAUUUAAUAUCACAGUUAACUCCUGAUGGGGAAAUUAUUUUGCAUAGUUUGAGAAAAAAACACUGCAUGGGGAACCACGCUGAAGUACUGGUAGAGAAAGAAGAAAAGAUACAAACAUAAUCAUAAAUGAAUUCUGUAAUCAGUGGCUCCCUUCUGUGGAGGCAGAGGCGUAAGGCAUGCUGUUCAUUAUUACUGUUGCGUGUGCUAUGUUCUUUAUUGGCGUGAUGUUUAAUCCUCAGAACAAGCUUCUGGAGUAGAUUUUCCCCCUAUUACCAAUGCAAAAACUGAAGUUCAGAGAAGUUAAGAAACUUCCCCAGUUCAUACAGGUAGGAUAUGGGAGACCUGGAUUCAACCCCAAAUCAGUCUGACGCCUAAGCCCACAUUCUUAAUCUGUUAGCGAAAUUGCCUGGCCAGUAGAAUGUGGAGAGAGGGUGUAUUAGGAGAGAAGAAUCUAUCUUGUGCUCCCAUAAACAAAAUGUUUAGGAGCAAGAGGUGAAAACUUAUUUGCAGCUCUGCCAGCAGACACUGUGGAGGGCUUAGGUUUGAGGGGGUUCUUGAGGGACCUGCAUGACCUCAUAGCAAGCAGUGGGAGACGAGGGAUAAUAAGAAGGUAUUAGGGAAGGAGGCAGAGGUGCACAUGGUCAGGGAAUCCUAAUAUCCUUUUGGGGUGAUGACGAGAGAAAAGGGAUUAAAAUCUACUUCUCAAACAGCCUUGAGAGCUGAAGCAAGAAGUUUGAGUUGGAUUUCAGAGGGCGUGAUGGUCCGCUGAAGCAUUUGAGUAGGAGGGUGGAGGGGGGCAGAUGGUUGGGGGAGAGAAAGCACUUUGAGACCCUGUGGUCCCCGAGGACCCUGUGGUGCUGAGGGCUCCAACUAGGGCAUUAGCUGUAGAAAUGGACAAGAAAUACAUAGUUCAAGAGCAGAAGUCUCCUCCCGUGCUUCCUCGGCCUGCUUGCAGCGUUGCUGUGAUCUGGGACUGGUGCAGCGUGUCCCUCGCUGCCUCCUCUCUGUCCUCCAUCUGUACUUUGCAUACUUCAUUGCUCCCAGACAGCAGCCGGGGAGAAGAGAGACUCAAUUUGUCCAGCCUGUAAUUGGUUGGCUAAUUCUGACAAAUGGGAUGGGGCCUGAAGGAGGCAGAAACUUCGGGCCAAAAUGAAGUUUUAUAUUAUUUGUACAUGCAUUUCUUCACUCAGCUGCCCAGUUCGUUUAUUUCCCAUCCUUCUUUCCAAACAUUUAUUGAUUCGUUCAAUAAACACUCAGUCAUCUGGUAGUCAUCAGGUGGCCACGAUGUGCCAAACACGGUGGUUGGCACUGAGCACACGGCAGGCGGCAGGGCAGUCUCUGUCCGCAGGAAGUUUCCUGUUCUGCUGGAGGGUUAGUUCAGCCAUCUGCUUCUGGGCUUGCUUUUUGUCUCACCUUCUUACGAUCUUUCCCCCUUUUUUCUCAUCCUUCCGAUAAGAAAGUUCGGUAUUGUCUUUCCACACUUUGGAUAGUUAACCACGCAGUUUUAACAUGCCUUCUCAGGUCUAAAAUUAAUUAGUAUUCUUGCUCCCCUGCAGCCAAUAUAAGGAACUCAGCGUAUAGCCAAUAUUAGGAACUCCCCUUGUCUGAAAAUGCUGUUGUUUUCCUGUAGUUUAGUUACUUUUACUAACUCUCUAAGACUGUACUGUUUGAUACAGGCUUUCCAAGUGCAAUCAGUUGCAGUCUUUCUGAAGUAUAACCCUUCACAUUGCUUUCCUGAGCGGCUUUUGAUAGCAGCCUCUCUGUUUUUGCUUGAGAAUAUCCGUUUUGCUCCUGUUCUUGCUGGGUGUGCCUGUGGCAGUGUGAACCCUUAGUGUACUCACUAUAUUUUCCUCCUGAUGGAUUCCACGGUAGCUGUUGAGAUGUCAGGGGUCACCUAGUGAUUAUUAUUUUAAAAGAAAAGUCUUUUCUCUGGCUGUUUUUAAGAUUUGAUCUCCUUUUUUGGUAUCCUGUAAUUUCACUCUGAUGUGGGUUUUUAAAAACAGCUGGAGUGUUGUAUAAAUGACGUGAAUUGCAUGUUUGUCGUGCACCAUUAGCUAAGUGUUGGUAUUUGUCUGUACCCUUGGAAACCUCACCACCUCAAGAUAGCAAACACAACCACCGCCCUGCAGUUUCCUUGUGGCCCUUUGUGUUUGUCACCUUGCCCUCCUCAGUCCCCAAGCAACACUGAUCUGCUUCCUAGCUCUAUAAAUCGCUUUGCAUUUUUUAGAAUUUUAUACAAGUGGACUCAUACAGUGUGUAGUAUUUGUUAAAAAUUUGACUUCUUUCAGUGAACAUGAUUAUUUUGUGAUCCAUCCUUCUUGUAGCAUGUACCAAGAAUUCAUUCUCUUUUAUUAAUAAAAUAGACUUCUUUGUAUGUACAGUGGUGCCUCUUUGCUUGAAAGUGGAAUCAAAAAUCUGACUU